UACGUAGGGGGCCAGCGUUGCUCGGAAUUACUGGGCGUAAAGGGUUCGUAGGUGGUGCGGUGAGUUGGGAGUGAAAUCUCUGGGCUUAACUCAGGGGCUGCUUUCAAAACUGCCGUGCUCGAGUGCGAGAGAGGUCAGUGGAAUUGCAGGUGUAGCGGUGAAAUGCGUAGAUAUCUGCAGGAACACCCGUGGCGAAGGCGGCUGACUGGAUCGCGACUGACACUGAGGAACGAAAGCUAGGGGAGCAAACAGG
rnacentral:rRNA from 1 species